AUUGAGCGCUAGCGGGAUGCUUUACACAUGCAAGUCGAACGAGUGGCGGACGGGUGAGUAAUAUAUCGGAACGUGCCCAGUAGCGGGGGAUAACUACUGGAAAGAGUGGCUAAUACCGCAUACUCUUGGAGCGGCCCAUAUCGGAUUAGCUAGUUGGUGGGGUAAAGGCUCACCAAGGCAACGCUCCGUAGCUGGUUUGAGAGGAUGACCAGCCACACUGGUACUGAGACACGGCCCAGACUCCUACGGGAGGCAGCAGUGGGGAAUUUUGGACAAUGGGGGAAACCCUGAUUCAGCCAUCCCGCGUGUAUGAGAAGGCCUUCGGGUUGUAAAGUACUUUUUGCAUGGAAGCGGUAUCUGCAGAAUAAGCACCGGCUAACUCCGUGCCAGCAGCCGCGGUAAUUC
rnacentral:rRNA from 1 species